CAUUAGACAUACACAAAGGUCUUAACAGAAAACAUACCUGGGAAUCCUCAAUCUGCGUCGCGCCCUGCUAGAAAAAAAGAAAAGGCGCAAUUAGACAUACACAAAGGUCUUAACAGAAAACAUACCUGGAAAUCCUCAAUCUGCGUCGCGCCCUGCAAAAAAAAAAAAAAAAGGCCACACGACCUAAAGGAAAAAAAAGAAACCAUUAGACAUACACAAAGGUCUUAACAGAAAACAUACCUGGGAAUCUCCUAAUCUGCGUCGCGCCUGCUAGAAAAAAAGAAAAGGACAACAUUAGACAUACACAAAGGUCUUAACAGAAAACAUACCUGAAAAUACUCAAUCUGCGUCGCGCCCUGCUAGAAAAAAAGAAAAGGCAACAUUAGACAUACACAAAGGCCUUAACAGAAAACAUACCU
rnacentral:lncRNA from 1 species